GUUCCAGACUCCUACGGGAGGCAGCAGUGAGGAAUAUUGGUCAAUGGGCGAGAGCCUGAACCAGCCAAGUCGCGUGAGGGAGUACUGCCCUAUGGGUUGUAAACCUCUUUUGUCGGGGAGCAAAAGCCGGACGUGUCCGGCUGUGAGAGUACCCGAAGAAAAAGCAUCGGCUAACUCCGUGCCAGCAGCCGCGGUAAUACGGAGGAUGCGAGCGUUAUCCGGAUUUAUUGGGUUUAAAGGGUGCGCAGGCGGGAGAUCAAGUCAGCGGUAAAAUGUCGGGGCUCAACCCCGGCCGGCCGUUGAAACUGGUUUUCUAGAGUUGGAGAGAAGUAUGCGGAAUUCGUGGUGUAGCGGUGAAAUGCGUAGAUAUCACGAAGAACUCCGAUUGCGAAGGCAGCAUACCGGCUCCAUACUGACGCUGAGGCACGAAAGCGUGGGGAUCGAACAGGAUUAGAUACCCCAGUA
rnacentral:rRNA from 1 species